CGCCCAUCUACUUCCUUUUUGUCCACCACAUCUAGACUAGAGAUGCAUUGUCAGGAGUAAAGUGCAGCCGAGCAGCGACCCCUGGUGGCGAUCGUGGGUAUUACACCCUACACACAACGCAGAGGCUGGGGACAGAUGUGCCAUUCCAACACCAACCCCCUACACCCCCCCAAAGGGGGCGUCACAAAACAAAGUGGGCCAGCUGACCAGAACUAAGCAACCUUUGACCUCAGCUGCAGACUGAGGAUUUAAAGCUCGUUGGACACACCAAGACUGGAGACAAAACACCGGAGACUAAUAAA